UCAUUAAAAAUUCAAUACAAGUCAUUCAUUUCAUCCCACAUCAAUCCAUUCAUUCCCAAAAUUCAAAAUCCAUUACAAAGCAUGAGAAUGUUCAUAAUAUGAAAAUUUACAAAAAUUUGGAAAUGUUAACCAAAUAUUGACUUUGGUCAACAGUUGAAUUUUUGGUCAACUUUGACCAAAGUCAACCCAAUCCCAAAAAAUCUUAAAACACUAACAUCCCAUCCUAAUCCUAACCCUAAUCUCCAAAUCCCAUUUUGACCUUUGGCUUUACUUUUAUACAU
rnacentral:lncRNA from 1 species